rnacentral:rRNA from 1 species
AUACGGAGGGUGCAAGCGUUAUCCGGAAUCACUGGGUUUAAAGGGUGCGUAGGCGGCCUGGUAAGUCAGAGGUGAAAUGCACGAGCUUAACUGGUGAAUUGCCUUUGAAACUAUCAAGCUAGAAUUAUGUUGAGGUCAGCGGAAUGAGUCAUGUAGCGGUGAAAUGCAUAGAUAUGACUUAGAACACCAAUUGCGUAGGCAGCUGGCUGGGCAUACAUUGACGCUGAGGUGCGAAAGUGUGGGGAGCAAACAGGAUUAGAUACCCUGGUAGUCCACACCGUAAACGAUGAAUGCCAGUCGUCGGGUAGUAUACUAUUCGGUGACACACCUAACGGAUUAAGCAUUCCGCCUGGGGAGUACGGUCGCAAGAUUAAAACUCAAAGGAAUUGACGGGGCCCGCACAAGCGGUGGAGUAUGUGGUUUAAUUCGAUGCAACGCGAAGAACCUUACCAGGGUUUGACAUCCUGCGAACCUC